GAUCAUGGCUCAGGAUGAACGCUAGCGACAGGCUUAACACAUGCAAGUCGAGGGGCAGCGGGGAGUAGCAAUACUCUGCCGGUCGACCGGCGCACGGGUGAGUAACGCGUAUGCAACUUGCCUAUCAGAGGAGAAUAGCUCAUCGAAAGAUGAAUUAAUGCUCCAUGAAACAGGGGUCCCGCAUGGGAAUAUUUGUUAAAGAAUUCAUCGCUGAUAGAUAGG
rnacentral:rRNA from 1 species